rnacentral:lncRNA from 1 species
AAAAGACGGGAGAAAGUGUGAAAGAAAGCCCAGCAAACACGAGAAGGGCUCAUGAUAACACGGUUGCAUGAGGCCACGUGACAAGACAAUCCCCAAGGCCAGACCACACGCUCUGCGUGUGCAGGUUUCUCCAGAGCUCACAGGAAUACUGAAGAGUGGCAGAGAAGUCUCCAACUCCGCCCCAUGCCAGAACUUACUGAUGCUGCUGGGGAGGGCUGUGCAUGGUGAACAUUCAUUGCGGAAACCCAAGGUGUCCAUCACCAAACUCCUUUUGUAACCUUCUGAAGACCUUUUGAUUGGAUCAUUUAUGUGCAUUAUUGGUGGGGAGAGGAAGGAGAUUUUUUGCAAAAAGAAGAGAUUAACUACGUGCUAGAAAUCCGCGGACUACCUCAAAAAAUCCAAAUGUUCUCAGAAUCAAUGCCUGGACGGAUGUGCCCCAAACUCUGUCACUUUCCAAUAUCAAAAAUUAAGAAGUAUUAAGAGCAUAUAUUAAACAAUAAUACCUUGC